rnacentral:rRNA from 1 species
GAGGAAUAUUGGUCAAUGGACGAGAGUCUGAACCAGCCAAAUCGCGUGAAGGAAGACUGCCCUACGGGUUGUAAACUUCUUUUGUACAGGAAUAAAAGACAUUACGUGUAGUGUAUUGCAUGUACUGUACGAAUAAGCAUCGGCUAACUCCGUGCCAGCAGCCGCGGUAAUACGGAGGAUGCGAGCGUUAUCCGGAUUUAUUGGGUUUAAAGGGUGCGCAGGCGGGAUUUUAAGUCAGCGGUGAAAUUUUCAGGCUCAACCUGAACACUGCCGUUGAAACUGGGAUUCUUGAGUAUGGAUGAAGUAGGCGGAAUUCGUUGUGUAGCGGUGACAUGCUUAGAUAUAACGAGGAACUCCGAUUGCGUAGGCAGCUUACUAAGCCAUAACUGACGCUCAAGCACGAAAGCGUGGGGAUCAAAC